UACGUAGGGGGCAAGCGUUGUCCGGAUUUAUUGGGCGUAAAGAGCGUGUAGGCGGCUUGGUAGGUCUCGCGUCAAAACCUGAGGCUCAACCUCAGUUCGCGUGGGAAACCACCUAGCUAGAGUCCGGAAGAGGAGAACGGAAUUCCCAGUGUAGCGGUGAAAUGCGCAGAUAUUGGGAAGAACACCAGUGGCGAAGGCGGUUCUCUGGACAGUUCCUGACACUGAGGCACGAAGGCCAGGGGAGCAAACGGG
rnacentral:rRNA from 1 species